AUUAAAAAUAUUAUUUUUAAAAUUUUGUUAAAUUUAAUUUAAAUAAAUUAAUAUGAAUUUUAUUAUAUAGUUAGAAAAAAUUUUUUUUAUUAUAGAGAAUUAGUAUUGUGAAAGAAUUAUUUAGAAUUUUUAAAAGAAAAAUUAUUUUGUACCUUGUGUAUCAGGGGUUAUUAAUUAAUAAUUAAUUAUUUAAUUUUCUCGAAUUUAAAAGAGUUAUUAUUUUAUAUAUUUUAUUGUUGAAUAAAUAUUUUUAAUAAAAUAAUAGUAAUGAAAAGUUAUUCGUUUUUAAAUAUAUCUAGUUUUUUAAGAAAAAAAUUCAAUUUUAUUUAUAAAUUAAAAUAGUAUAUAUUGUUAUUGUUUUUUAUUUAUAAUUAAAUAAGUUAAGGGAUAAGCUUUAAUUUAUAUUAUUAAAACUAACUAAAAUUUUAAAAAUUUGUAGAAUUAAAAUUUUUUUUCAAUUAAAGUAUUUUAUAAUUUAUUUUUAAGUAAAUUUUAUUUUUAUUUAGUUUAAUUUUUUUAUUAAAAUUUAAAAUUUAAUUUUAAAGUUUUAGAAAUAAUGAUAAUAUUAGUAUAAUUAUAUGUAAAAUUUAAUUAUUUUAAAAGAUUAAUUAAAGGAAUUCGGCAAAUUUAUUUUUCAACUGUUUAUUAAAAACAUUUCUUUUUGAGUAUAAUUUAAAGUAGGGCCUGCCCACUGAAUUUUUAAAGGGCCGCAGUAUUUUGACUGUGCAAAGGUAGCAUAAUCAUUAGUUUUUUAAUUGAAAGCUGGUAUGAAUGGUUUAAUGAAAAAAUUACUGUCUCUAAUUAAAGUUAGAAUUUUAUUUUUAAGUUAAAAAGCUUAAAUAUUUUAAAAAGACGAGAAGACCCUAUAGAGUUUAAUUUUUUAAAAGUUUUAAUAGUUAGAAUAUAAAAUUUUUAAAUAAUUGGAUUGGGGUGAUUAAAAAAUUUGAAAAACUUUUUUUUUAUUUAAACAUUAAUAUAUGAGUUUUUGAUCCAUNUNAUAUAUAUAUAUAUAUAUAAUUAUAUAUUUAUGAUUAUAAGAUUAAAUUACCUUAGGGAUAACAGCGUAAUUUUUUUGAGAAGUUCUUAUUUUAAGAAAAGAUUGCGACCUCGAUGUUGGAUUAAAAUUAAUUUUUGGUGUAGAAGCUAAAAUAUUAGGUCUGUUCGACCUUUAAAAUUUUACAUGAUCUGAGUUUAAACCGGUGUGAGCCAGGUUGGUUUCUAUCUUUUAAAAAGUAAAUAUUUUAGUACGAAAGGACCAAAUAUUUUAUUAUUAAUAAUUUUUUGAAU
rnacentral:rRNA from 1 species